rnacentral:rRNA from 1 species
GAUGAACGCUGGCGGCGUGCCUAAUACAUGCAAGUCGAGCGAACAGACGAGGAGCUUGCUCCUCUGACGUUAGCGGCGGACGGGUGAGUAACACGUGGAUAACCUACCUAUAAGACUGGGAUAACUUCGGGAAACCGGAGCUAAUACCGGAUAAUAUAUUGAACCGCAUGGUUCAAUAGUGAAAGACGGUUUUGCUGUCACUUAUAGAUGGAUCCGCGCCGCAUUAGCUAGUUGGUAAGGUAACGGCUUACCAAGGCAACGAUGCGUAGCCGACCUGAGAGGGUGAUCAGCCACACUGGAACUGAGACACGGUCCAGACUCCUACGGGAGGCAGCAGUAGGGAAUAUUGCGCAAUGGGCGAAAGCCUGAUGGAGCAACGCCGCGUGAGUGAUGAAGGUCUUCGGAUCGUAAAACUCUGUUAUUAGGGAAGAACAAAUGUGUAAGUAACUAUGCACGUCUUGACGGUACCUAAUCAGAAAGCCACGGCUAACUACGUG